rnacentral:rRNA from 1 species
CGCGUAGGCGGUUUGUUUAGUUAGGCGUGAAAUUCCUGGGCUUAAUCUGGGGACUGCGCUUAAUACAGGCAGACUUGAGUUCGGAAGAGGGUCGUGGAAUUCCCAGUGUAGAGGUGAAAUUCGUAGAUAUUGGGAAGAACACCGGUGGCGAAGGCGGCGACCUGGUCCGAUACUGACGCUGAGGCGCGAAAGCGUGGGGAGCAAACA